GAUAUUAUGCUUGUUUUGCAUUGUUUUGUAGCGAUUUUGAUGAAAGUGAAGAUUGGGAUUGAAGAUGAAGGUCAUAGACUCAAGACAGAGGAAGAAAACUGAAGAAAAGAAGAGUCUAGGAACCGCCCAGCGGAAAAAUUCACCGUUGGGUGGUCCAAUGCGAGGAGGAGGCACCUGGCGUGGACUCUGGGUGGAUUUGCGAUUAGAGGCAAACCGCCGAGCGUUAGACCCUUGGCGCCGAGCGAUGGCGCGAUUAUGGGCAAACCGCCGGGCGGCAUAAGUGUGACGUCGGGCGGUUGUCUGCUGGGCUUGGGCCUGUUUUCUAUGACGCUCCUCAGCUAUAAAUAGCCCUGUUACAAUUUCAUUCUCAUUCUUUUGACAGAAGAGGGCGGCUAGACCUAAUUUUCACUCUCUGGAGAGGAUCUCUCGGAUGCUUAGGCUCCUUUUCAUCUUAUCUAGGGUUUGCUCUUCCAUUCUUCCAUUAUUUUCAUCUAAGUUCACCAUGACAAUGGUGAACUAAACCCUUUUGUUGUUGGGGGAAACAAUGUAAUCUUUUGAAACUCUCUUUUAUUGAAACUCUUGUUUAUUUAUAUGAUUUGUCAUAUGCUUUGAUUAUCAAUUGUUGGGUUCUCAUCUGCUCUUAAAGCUUUUAUCGUUUAACUCAUUCGAUAACUGUUGUUUGUCUCUAUUGAUACAGGAAUGUACAGUACUAUCAUGAACUGGUGAGAAAUUCCUUGAUUAAUGAAAUACCACCUAGGGAUAGGGAGGUAGGACGAUCAAUUGUUUUUGCUUCUGUUCGGUAAUGCGUUGCUAAUUGCUAGGGGAGGCUAGGGAUAGCAAGUCGGUAAUUAGUAAUAGGCUCUUUUCGCCGAGGGAUCGGGUUAAGGGUAGGCCAAGAAAGUUUGCAUAACAAUUAGAUAAUCAAGCACAUUAAACAAGAGGAGUAGAUAAAAGGGAGCGAAUAAGAUGAAAUUGUCAACCCCAACAACUCAAUUCAUCCAUAGUCUUUUUCGUCAAUUGAAUCAAACACAUUGCAUGUUUAUUUUCUGUCUUUGCAUUCCAAACAAUUAAUUUUUCUUUACAAGUCUUACAAUCUCGAUUCACACGAACGAUAAGGCCUUUCGAGUCUCUUGGGAAGAACGAUAUCGGGAUUUACCGAUUAUAUCACUUGAACGAUCUGGUACGCUUGUCAGUGAGUCAACAAUCAUCAAUUACAUUUCCAUAACAACACAGUCUAGUACUGAAGGAAAAACAAGGCCCCUCAACGUCCAAGCAUCAACAAAAUCAAAAACCCCAAAUCUGAUGAAUUCCGCUCAGCGGUUCAAGCAGACCGCUCAACGGUUUUCGACUAGGUGUUUCAAAAACUCGCUUUCAACAGUCCUAAUCUCCACUCUAACACCAAAUCCAUAAUUCUAUACCAAAUUCAUGCAAUUCAAUCGAUUCAAACAGUUUCUAUUUCAUCAAAUCAUGCAUAAAAAUUGAAAGCCCUAAUUUAUCAUGUUCCUAAGCAU
rnacentral:lncRNA from 1 species